UACAGAGGUGGCAAGCGUUGUUCGGAAUUAUUGGGUUUAAAGGGUGCGUAGGCGGCCCUGUAAGUCAGUUGUGAAAUACGGCAGCUUAACUGUCGAGGUGCAAUUGAUACUGCAGGGCUUGAGUACUGAUGAGGUAGGCGGAAUGGACGGUGUAGCGGUGAAAUGCUUAGAGAUCGUCCAGAACACCGAUAGCGAAGGCAGCUUACUAAGGAGUAACUGACGCUGAGGCACGAAAGUGUGGGGAUCAAACAGG
rnacentral:rRNA from 1 species